rnacentral:rRNA from 1 species
CCUACGGGAGGCAGCAGUAGGGAAUUUUCGGCAAUGGGGUGAACCCUGACCGAGCAACGCCGCGUGAAGGAAGAAGGAAUUCUUUCUGUAAACUUCUUUUAUAAAGGAAGAAAGACGGAUGGAGGAAAUCACAUCCGAGUGACGGUACUUUAUGAGAAAGCCACGGCUAACUACGUGCCAGCAGCCGCGGUAAUACGUAGGUGGCAAGCUUUAUCCGGAAUUAUUGGGUGUAAAGCGGGAGCAGGCGGCAGCAAAGGUCUGUGGUGAAAGAGUGAAGCUUAACUUCAGUAAGCCAUAGAAACCGGGCAGCUGGAGUGCAGGAGAGGAUCGUGGAAUGCGAUGUGUAGCGGUGAAAUGCGUAGAUAUCUGGAGGAACACCGGUGGCGAAGGCGACGAUCUGGCCUGCAACUGACGCUCAGUCCCGAAAGCGUGGGGAGCAAAUAGGAUUAGAUACCCCGGUAGUC